CGCACGAGCGAGCCGCUUCAGUCCAGAUGCGAGACCUACAUGUCCACCCUUCCCAAUUCAAUUAAACUAUUGAUUGAGAAAUCUCUCUCUCAGAUUAACGCACUAAUCAAGACUAGUACUCUAAUUAAGUAGUAGUAGUUUAUAAAAGAAUUAAGCUCGUUCUUCCUUGCCAUUACUUAUAUAAAACCCUCUCUCCCGUUCGUCUCCUCAACUUAAUCCUCCUCACUGCUCUAUCUCAUCUUUCUCUCUUGCCCUAGCUUCAUCAACUCCUCUCAAUCAGCUAAACAUCAUAUUUCACCUCACUUCAAACCGGCUUUUUUCCUUUGAUUUUGUUUGUUUCCCCCGGUGGGAUCUCGUGACGGAGAACCGCCAUUUGAUCUCUCGAUGUUAUUCGUAGCGUCGAUUACUUCUACGGAUUUUGAUAUGCCCAUGGGCUGAGAGAGAGAGAGAGAGGAUGAGAGUUUUCUCAAUCUUGAGUGGAUCUGUCUCCUCUUCUUGUUUUCAGUUGAAAACGGGUACAUAUAAUCGAGAUAAGAUUGACUGAGAUGCGGCGCAAAUCCAUUUUAGUAUGGGACCGCUGUGGUUGAUUAAGCGGAAGACUUGGCAGGUUUGCUCGAGUUAUCUCUCUUGUCUAGACCAUUUGUGAGAAGGGAUCUUUUGUUUCCACCAAUACCCCCACCAAUCUCUAAAUCUGCACUAAGUAUUAUUCUCACACUACACUUUUAAAACCAAUCCUAUGUUUCAGAUGCUUUCCUAGCCUAGAAUGCAUUGUUGUGCGAAUAUGUAAUGUCUUGGCACAUCAGGGUUAGUUUCUUCUGUACCCCUCUAGAUAUUCUCUUACUGUGUAGGAUUCCCGAGCUACCAAAACUUUAAGAAAUUAGAGAACUGUAGCCGAUCCCCAUCCUAUAAGAAAGGUCUACUCUGCAGGUCACAGCUAUUAGAGCCGCACUCCUCAUAGUUAACGUGUUUAUUUCUUCCAUCAAAAUCUGAUCCUUGAUAAGCUAUAUUUAAAUAUUAAAAGUAAGUAGAUAAAAGUGCAUUAGUGGCUUUUCCUUAAUUUCCUUUGUGUUCCAAGUCAAUUUAAGAUGAUUCUCGAAUUCAUAUAAAAUCGUUUACACCAUGGACAUGAUAACUAAGGUCUAAGAAUUUGUAUCGUCUUACGCUAGUAGCUACACUAGUUUCCUAAGAAAUAAAAAUGGGGAUUGGUGAGGUGGUUGGUUAUAUUCCCUUCUCAUCGAUGGUCUAGAUGUGCGAGGUGACUCUCAUGAAUUUGUGAAGCUCCCAAGAUAGUAAUGGUAAUUCCUAAAAAGUGGGUUAGAUUUUCAGCUUGUGAAUUUGUUGUAUUGCAUAAUUUUCAUGCCAAUGAAUCCUCCAACACAGGUGAUGUUUCCAAUUAUAGUUGUGUAAGCUUUUUUGGGGAUUGAGUAAAUCAUCCCAUUACUCAAACUAAUGUAAAUGAUGGAUGCAGUAGUGAAUUUGUUGCAAGGUGAAUAGGUUUUGUUGCCUUUGCAAGAAGGUUUUGUUGCCUUUGCAAGAAGUAAAGAAGACAGAAACAGGUUGUAAGAUAAAGCACAAGUGUGUAUAUAUGGAUGAAAGAGGAAAGUGGACGGAAGGUGUAACCUUUGACUUGUGGUCACUGAUGUUCUCGCUCAUCCAUUUCAUGCUGCAACAGGAAACAACAAAAGGAAUGGAUGACGUAACGCCAAGCAUUAAGAGGUUGCUUGUAGACUUGAUAAUAAAUCACUCCAUUACUAACGUAAUAUUUGUCAUCUUCCGUAGUUUCUGACUACCAAAUGAGACUAUGUAUCUUAGCUAAUGUAUCAUUACUGUGCGUAAAUGAUAAUGUUAUUUUUAUUUGUGGGAC